AGCGAACGCUGGCGGCAGGCCUAACACAUGCAAGUCGAACGGAUCCUUCGGGAUUAGUGGCGGACGGGUGAGUAACACGUGGGAACGUGCCCUUUGGUUCGGAACAACUCAGGGAAACUUGAGCUAAUACCGGAUGUGCCCUUCGGGGGAAAGAUUUAUCGCCAUUGGAGCGGCCCGCGUCUGAUUAGCUAGUUGGUGAGGUAAAGGCUCACCAAGGCGACGAUCAGUAGCUGGUCUGAGAGGAUGAUCAGCCACACUGGGACUGAGACACGGCCCAGACUCCUACGGGAGGCAGCAGUGGGGAAUCUUGCGCAAUGGGCGAAAGCCUGACGCAGCCAUGCCGCGUGAAUGAUGAAGGUCUUAGGAUUGUAAAAUUCUUUCACCGGGGACGAUAAUGACGGUACCCGGAGAAGAAGCUCCGGCUAACUUCGUGCCAGCAGCCGCCGUAAGAC
rnacentral:rRNA from 1 species